UUUCUCCAUCCCAGUCCCUCCCAGUUCCAUCCCAGUCCAUCCCAGUCUGUCCCAGUUCAGGGUUCCUGGUGGCCAGAAGCUCCGGAGAAGAUCCGCGCCAUGCGCCGGAGCUGCUGAUCCCGGGGGAUUUCUCCAUCCCAGUCCAUCCCAGUCCAUCCCAGUUUGUCCCAGUCACUCCCAGUCACUCCCAGUCCAUCCCAGUCUGUCCCAGUUCAGGGUUCCUGGUGGCCAGAAGCUCCGGAGAAGAUCCAGCGCUGAUCCCAGGGAGCUGCGUCAUCCCAGUCCAUCCCAGUCCAUCCCAGUUUGUCCCAUCCCAGUCACUCCCAGUCCAUCCCAGUCUGUCCCAGUUCAGGGUUCCUGGUGGCCAGAAGCUCCGGAGAAGAUCCGCGCCAUGCGCCGGAGCUGCCGCGCGGCCGAGUUGGACUCCUGCUGCAGGCGCCGGUUGUUCUGCCGCAGGUUGGCCACCUCGGCCUGCAGGAACACCUUGUCCUGCUUCUCCUGCGGGGAAAAAACCCAAAUUUGGGGCAAAAAAUCAAAAUUUGGGGAAAAUUCCAAAUUUUUGAGGGAAAAAAUUGGGAGUUUUGGGCA
rnacentral:lncRNA from 14 species